UUCUUUAUUGAAAUUUAAAAAAUGACUUCUUUUCUAAAAGAAUUUCUCGUGUAGCCUCUGCUCUCAUGAUUGCUCAGAGGGAAGUGUUGUGAAUUGAACUAAUGAGUUACGUAUGAUGUAAUUUACAAUAAAUUUAAAAAUAUUCACCCAUAAUCUCUCACUUGUUUCACAUACUAUUAGGUUUUAGUAUUAGGUUACUGUAAGUUAGUUACAUUAUAUGUAACUUAGUAGGGUGCCAACAUUUUAUGACCAACUUCUUUAUGUUUCAUUUAAAGUUGCCUAUAAAUAGAAUUAACUAAGAAAUUGAAGUCAUAUUUUAAAUAAUUUUCCCAAUCAUUGCGUGGGCAAGCACACUAGGGUUUACUAAUGAGAGCAAAAAUUUUAAAUUCGGUAAUGAAGCGUCAUUUGAUGAUCUCCCUAUCACGUUUGUUCACAAGCACUAAAGAUGAAGUCAUGUAUCAAUAAUACAAAUAAUUUAUGAAAGAAAAUUUUAGAUGAUCAAAUUUAGCAUCAAAUUUUGGCUUCAUCAAUUUUAUGUGUUAAAAAAAUUAAUGAUUGAAUUUCUUUGUCACGCCUAGAUGAGUACGUGGAUGUAUCGACUUCGGCGAUAUAAACCACAUAUUUUUGUUUUAAAAUUGAUACAUACGAUAAUAUUAAUAAUAUACUCAAAAAAGAAUUAAUAAAAGACUUCAAUAUGAUCCAAACUAACCUCUCAAGAUUAAAAAUCUUAUAAAUUGAUCAUUGGUUUGUGUUGAACUAAUUAAUAUCAAUCUGAACAGCCAAAAAAAACUCACACUUGGGUUUAUUUACACCUACUCUUCUUAACUCUAAGGUUAAUAGUUCGAGUUUCUGAGUAUCUAUGAGACUGUUUUCUUUAAUUUCUUAUUAUAAGCUUUAGUAAGUUUUAGUUGUUUGUUGGAUUAAGAUUGAGCAUUCAUACUAUGUAAAUAUAUUCAAAUGGUUUUAAACAACCUUUUGAAUCUUCAUUAUCGUCUUCUCCUUCUUCUCAUCCUAAAAGAAAAGGUAAACAGCAUACUUGCUCUUAAAAAGUAUUGCAAUCAUUUUCGUUUAGAUUUUGUGUACAUCGACACUUGCACUAUAAUUUAAGUAAAUAAAGACAGUUUUAUAAUAUAAAAAAGUAAAUUAAAAAAGAAUUAAUAAAAUUAUAUAUUAAGGCCAAGGUAACAAGCCCCUAGAAAUUCUGCAGUUAAUUCAGGAGCCGUUGAGAAUAAGGGUACAUGCAUGUGAAUUUAAGCGGAAACGUUAGUUAUUUGUAUUUGUUCCCAAUUUUAUCGUAUUCGAUAAUAAUCAAUAGAUUUAGAUUAGGCUCUAAUAUCGAGAAAAUGUACAAUAAUUUUAUAAAUUCUAAAAAUCAGUUUGGUUUAUUUUAUGUGAUCUGAAAGAAAAAUAAACAAUAAAUUCUCUGGAUACUUUUGGCAGUUUCGACAUAGAAUCGUUACCUUAUUUUUAUUAAUUAUUUCGACUGUCUAUACCUUUCUAUGAACAUCAUAAUCCAUGAAAGUGUUGCAAGUUCUUCCGAUGUGUAUAAUGAAAAAUAUUAAUAUUUUUAUUAUUUUUAUGAAAAUUAUUAUUUAACAAUUUUACAUAUCAUUACAUUACCACAUACUACCUUUUAUAACUAUAUAUAUAUAAUUUUUUUUUUGAAACAGCAGCUCAUGGUAGGAGGACAGUUUCUCCCUUUCGACUGUAUAAUAUCGACUGUAAGAGUCGAAACUGGAGCUACAUUAUUGCUGCGUUUACUUUUUGGAUUGAAGUAGGAAUCCUGAGGAGUGUGAAUCCUUGGAUUAGGAGUGUGGAGUGGGAGUGAGAGUAGGGUGUUUACUUAGACUAAAUGAAAGUAUGGAUUGUCAAUCAGAAUCCUAAUUAUUUGUUUACUUUAUCUUGGAUUGAGUGUAAAUUGUUUUAAAUUACAAUUUUAUCCUUAUGUGCAGAAUUAUAAUUUGUAAUUAAAAAAUUAAUAAAAAAUAUUUGGAAAAUAAAAUAAAUAUUUUAUUAUAUUUCUAAAUUAAUAAUACUUACUAAUAUUCUUAAUUAUGUAAAUCAUAAUUUUUAUUAAUUUUAAUUUAAAUUAUGUGAAUAAAAAUUAUUAAUAAUAGCAACACAAAUGAAAUAUUAUUAUUGAUAAUAUAGUACAAAAUUAAUAUUUUUUUAGAAUAAAAUAUUUAUUAUUAUUAAUUAAAUAAUUAAAUAAUUAAUAUUUAUUAAAAUUAAUGUUUAAUAUUAUUAAUUUAAAUAUAAUAUUUAUUUAUUUUUAUUUUAUUAAAUUUAAUAAAAUAAAUAUGAUAUAAUUAUUAUUUUUAAUAAAUAUGAUAUUAUUUAUUUUAUUAAAUAUUAUUUAUUUAUUUUAUUAAAUAUUAUUUAUUUAGGGAAGAGGGGGGAGUGGAUUCCCACUCCCACCUCCCUCCAUAGGAGUGGAAAUCCUACUCCCUACUUCAAAAUUAAGUGGGACUCACGAAUUUCCACUCCCAUCCCCUCCUUUUUUAAGGUAAAUAAAUACUGAAGUUGGAGGAAUCCACACUCUACACUCCCACUCCAAAAAAUAAACCCUACCUCUAACUAUUUGAUUCGAUCUGAACAAGGCUCCGUAGAGGGAGUAAAUAACAAGUUGACAGAGUUGCAUGUUAUUGCGACAAGUGCCCGUGAGACCUGGCGUAGGAGGAGUAGGACCGUUAUUUAUAAAUAAAAAAUCUUCAGUGAUCUCCUGUGUGUCAGAUCUGGAAGUACUACUGUGUGUACCUCACCGUCCCUUUCAUUUUUCUUUUUUCUUCCAUCUAAAGGAAUUCCUCGAUAUUAUCAACCAAUUCGUAAUUUUUAAGUAAUUAAUAAAAUUAAAAGAUUAGUGAAAUAAUUAAUGUUGACUCAAACAGGCGAAUUGCCACAAACGAAGAUUAAAAAAAAUGCGCAAGAAAUCUGGAUCUUUUUUUUAUUUAAUUUUUAUUGUAGGACAAAAACAAAACAAUAACAAUUGAUCGAAAAUAGAAGCUUUGUAGUCUAUCGGUGGUUAAAAAAUGCCAAAUAACAAACAGUAUAUAUAGAAAGGGACAAAUGAUAUAAUUUGGCAAAAUUGAAGUACCACCUUUUGUACAUAACACCACAAAAUUAAAAAAAUAAAAAUAAAAAUAAAAACUCAAGCACACAAGCACUUGUACGUUUUAUACGUUACAUGUGAACUUGUUAAUUUUUAAGUUUAGAAAAUUUAAGGAGCUUGUCGGAUUCUAUCGAAAAUAGUAUAUACCGCCACUUAUUCGCUUAUUAAUUUUAUGAUAGUUAAAAGUUUUCAUGGCAGUAUUACUCUUAUUUUCAAAUAAACUUUUAUUAGUAUUAAUUAUAAAUUACAUAAAUCAUGUAACUAAGAAUUAAAAUACUAAAAAUAAGAAAUAUAUGCUUCAGUGUAUAUAAAAAAUUAAUAAAAUAUUUUUUUGUAGUUUUUUUAAAACAUUUUUCUAGUAAUAAAUAUAUAUUCUAUAUUUUCAAGAUAAAUUGUCAAUUAAAUGACUUAUUUAUCCCUUUUUUCUGAAUAAAUUGACAGUUUUCUAAAAUUUAAUGCUGAUGAACACAUAUGAUCUCAUGGGGUGCAAUAUAAAUGCAUCAACUUGACAUGCUACUUGUGUUUAGAAAACCGCAUCACAUUAAUACUUAGCAAAGGUGUUUUUAAUGCAAAUAGAUAAAAGAUUCUCUUUCGGCGUAAGCUCUCCUAAAUUUUUCAAAUUUUGUGCCAUGUGUGCAUCAUUGAUCACGUGCAAAAACACACUACCACUGUUGUUCAUAUACGAAGGCAUUAUUAUAUUGCUCGAGAGGUUUUACAUGCCAAAUUCAAACCCAAUGCGUUUUGGAAUUGGCUUUGUUUGGGAGAUUUCGGGUCAAAGAUUUUGUGUUUUAAUAUUUUCUACUGUUUCAACAAUCAAUCUUUCAAAAUAUCAAUCUUUCCUAUGUAUUUGUUCAAAUGUAAACUUAGGCCACAAAAGAAUCUGCUCCUUUUUUAAACGAGGUUACGUUAAGAGAAAUGUAUUGUUUAAUUUCAAAACUUUUGAUAGAAUGAAAAAAAUUUGUACUUUUUAAAAUAUUUUCAAAAACUUUUAAUAUCAAUAGGCUUCUCUAUGUAAUAAAAUGUACACCUACUAAACAAUGAAAGUGUAGACUGUUAAUUUAAUGAAUUUUAAAACAUGCCAAAUGGUAAAUCUUAUUUAAUUAGUAUAUAUAUAUAUAUAUAUAUAUAUGGCUAUGAUUUUAAAGGUAAAGCUACAAUUUGCAAUGCAAGUGAUGAUGAUGAUUUGUCAUUUGGCCGUGGCUGCAAUAAUGUUUGUAUUUUCACAAAAUAAUUAACACGGGAGAAGUAGGUGUCUCGUUGAUUUAAUUAAUUAUGUCAAUGGAAGAGUUGCUUGCGGACACGCUUCUACUACGUACGUGACUUGCAUGCAGUAAGAACAGGGCCGUAUUCUUCUUAUUAUUUAUUUGUAGGGAAAAUAAAAAGAAGAAAUAUUAUUUGUAUUAGCCCUUCAAGGCUCUACUGAUCAUUAAAAUUUGGCAUUAAAUUAAUUAUUAAUCUAAGACUCUACAGAUCAUUAAACGUCAAUUUCGAAGAGAUUCCAACGGUAUAAUAUACGACAAUUAAAUUUGAUUGUCUGGUGAAGUUUAUACGGCAAUGCUUUACAUAAUGUUGUUUAAAAAAGUAAUUUUACCCUUUCAAUAUCAACUCCUUGGGAAUUUGAACUUCAUAUUCAUAUAUAAGCUCCAUUGUAUUUUUAAAAAUUUUAUGUCACGCGUGUAUUUAUAUAUUAAUUUAUAACUAAGAUUUAAUUAAAAAUAUAUUUUUAUCAAAUAAUCAACAAUCAAACUUUUUGUUUUGCUCAAUGCAAUAUCAUAUAUAUCAGCAUGGUAUCCAAGCAGCAGAUGUCUUGACUUACUUUACUUUCUGUGGAUUGGAGGAUUUUCCUCCCAAUUUUCUCGUUAUCUUUGAGGAAUUUAAAAAAAAAAAUGAGGGUUCGAAAAAAGAAAGAAAGAAAGAGAAAAUCUCUCAGUACCACCACUAGAAAAUCUGAUCACCUAAUUGAAUAAAUCGAUAUCCACUAAACACAUUGUCACUUUUUCGGAUAUAUAUACGUUUGUGAAUUAUUUUCCUAAAAAAAUUUAACAUUAUUUUCUAAAAAUGAAUAUGAGAAAUUAAUUCCACAUCAGCCCAAAGACUUGUACAAAAAAUUAUAUAUGGCAGUAAAAUUAUAGAGGACAGUUGAUGGCAUUUGUGGUUUAUAAUGAUCUUGUCCCCGUGAGAGAUGACUGAUGAGAUAGCCUUAGCCAACAACGGAGGAUUCUAUACAGUUUUUUCUUUUUCUUUUUUUUUUAAAAAAAGUUAUUAUUGACUUUACAUGUAUGUUCAGAAAUUUUUCGAGUCACGUUUUUUUUUAGCUCUUUUUCAACCCAAUUUUUAAUAUUUUAAGGACUGUGAAUCUCAGUGACGGAUAAAGAGUUGAAAUUUCUGAUAGAUGGGGGGGCCUGGGGGCAGGAAUACAUAAGAAAUUUUUAAAUCAAAGAGAAAAAGCAAGUAAAUUUAGAAGGGAAUAUAUGCAAUUAAUUUUAUUUCAAAGUCAACUUUAUAUGAUGCGAUAGAUAUCAUCAUCAUCAUAAUGAAUCUUUAAAUAAAUUACUUAAAGAAAAUGUUUAGUCUCACUAAUCAUACCCAUUUUCUAUUAAUCGAUGAAGACAAACAUCCCUACAGAAAAAAUUGAAGCAAGACAACACGGCAUGUUGAUUCAAUUCAUAGAACAAACCGGCACGCUUUGUUCGUCUCCUUCACCUUAUUAUUGCUAUAUAUUAUUAUUUCUUUUAAUUUAUUUUUUUUUCCUGAGACAUUUGCAAGUCAAAAUAACAAUCAAUCAAGGUGCAUGCUUCUCUUUGAGGCUGUCAAAUAAUGGCAACAUUAACAACGGUUUUGUACUGUUAAGUUCAAAUUAAUGUAUUUAUAUGUUUUAUUUUUUGACCUUAUUUCUUACCAUUAAUUUGUCAUUUCCAGCUACUCGAUUACUUUUAAAUUAAAUGUUCAUUUAUCAAAAAGAAAAAAAUAUACUGAGACUACAUAUAAUUUUAAGGUUAAUCAGUUUUUCAAUAUGACAUCAGAGCCUAAAUUUUUAUAUGUGAUGAUUCUUUCAUUAUGUACAAACUUAUUUCAAGUUUAAUUUUUUGACAAAUUUUCUUAUUCUCUUACCUAUCGGUCUAUUUAUAAGUCUCUCAUUCACGUUUGAAAUAAAACGGACCUGAUGAGAUUUGUCUUUAAUAUCAUUAUUAAACAUUUACUUAUUAGCUUGAAUUUUUAGAGGAAACAAUAUAUUUACAAGAUAAAUGUAUACAUAAUGUGGCAAGCUCGUUUAAUCCAGGAUUUAUUCAUAUUGCAACUAUCUAUAUAAAAUAUGAUUCCAAUGACUUUCAAUGAGGCCAUGAGAGUCGAUUUAAAGAAUUGAAUUGGUCGUCAAAAUGCAAAUUAAAGGAAGCUUAAUCCCAUUUACAAAUUAAAGAAUUGAAGGCAAAGCAGUCAUAAACAAGCUUGUUAAUCAAUUAGGAUCUAGGGGCUUAGCUAUUUGUGCAGCUUUUUGCAACAAGUUUGAGACUAAAUUGUUUUUAUUGUUGCUUUACAAGAUAAGGGCUUGACUAGUACAGUGUCCGCUUGUUAUGAAUCUUCUUCACCGUAGAAUUCCUUAUAUUGUUAUAACUUAGACACUAAAGAAGCCACUAUUGAAAACCUGGGAGUUCAAAUUUAUGGAGGUAAAAACUUUAAGGGCCAGAUCCAUAAUGUUGUAAAUCCUGAGGUACAAUUUCAAUUUUUUAAAAUUAAAGAGGCCAUGUUACAAACAAAAAAAUCUAGCUUGUUAGUUAAAUUUAUUAAGAAAGAAUCCACACCAUUCAAUCCACCCCUCCAGCCUUGCUUACUCGAGAUUUUUUUUUUAUGUACGAAUAAUAAUAAAAUUUGAGGAUUUAAAUAUUUGAGUUAUUAAUACAGUGUAUCACUCAAUUAUUGGAAGAUGGAUUUUUAACUCGUAAAAUUAUUAAAAUAUUUAAUAGAUAAAUAUCAAGUUAAUUAGGAUUCAAAUAUUGAGAUAUGUAACAUUAAUUAAUCAUCUAUAUAGUAAGUGUGAAAAUAAUAAUGAAAUACAAACUUAUAACGAUAUUAUUACGGAUUUUAAAUUUUGUUUUUUAAGUUGAGGAUUAAUAUGGAUGAAAAACGACAAAGCCGAUAAUUUUGUUCCUUGUAUAAUCAACCUUAUGAUGCAUGCAGCCUAGCUUGGGCUAGACAAACUAAUUAGUAGUAAUAACCCAACCCAAAUCAUGCUUUUGCUAAACGCUAAUGUGCACAUUCAUUUCUAACUUCUUUUAUUUUAUUCAUUUUAUUUUCCCGGCCGCAUGCCUUCGAACAAGGCAUGGGGAUUAAUAAUGCUUACAUUAAAAUUAAAUUUUAUUUUGAAGAAAAUUAACCCAAGUUUUAUGGUGAUACCCCGUAGGCGACGCAUGGAAAACAGGGCAAGAUACUAAAAUAAAGGCAAAAUCUGAAACAGGUUGAAGAGAACUAACAUGUCAGCAUGUGAACAUAAAUCAUUGAUUAAUGAUAUAUAAUCAAUAAUAUUAAGAAGGAGAAUCCUACUUUACCGAACACAAUUUUUUCAAACAUUUUAUUAUAAAUUAUUGAAGCCAAUUUAUAAUACACAGUAUUAAUUUGGAUACUGCUAUAAAUGUAUCAAUGCCCUUCAAUAAUAAUGGGUCCAAAUUUUCAUUUGUAUAGACAGUUAGGCACUAUCGCCAUUUCCUUACAAUACGUGUUAUACCAUGUGUUAUGUGUUUGCUUCAAUUAUUGUAACCUAUAAAGCCUAUUCCUAACAUUUGUUUUUUUUUUUUUAAAUGUAGGUGAGAUAAUUUUUUUUCAAGAAAAAAUAAAAAAAAUGAUCCACUAAUUACCUCAUAUUCGUACAAUUAUAACCUUUUUAAAGAUUUAUUAUAUAUUCUUUAAUCGAAAUUUUGGUAAUUUUUGAACAUCUUCAUGCUGUUAUUUUCGAAAAACAGUAUGAGCGGUUAUUUCACUAAGUAAAAAUAGGAUAUUGAAAACCUAAACGAACCAGAUUAUUGCCCGAUCAAACAACCUCGCCAAAUGAAAAGCUACAUCGGUUUGAAUCGAUUGGUUUGGAAAAUUAAAUUGCAUUAUGGACAAUCAAAUCCCAAAAAAAGAAAGGAAUUAAUUUUAAUUCCUUUUGAAAGUAGCCGUUUUACAAUAUAAUUUUUUUAACAACGGUAGGCGUAUGCUCUUUGUGAGAUAUUUAUGCUUUAGCUAUCUUAUAUUAUUGUGUAAGGUACAUAAUUUUUUUACACCCGCUUAAUAAAAAUCUAAUAAUGAUAAAAAUAAUAUAAUUUCAUUACCUUAUAUUUCCACAACCGCUGAAUUUUUAUUAAAUAGUUGUGAAAAAAUUAAGUAUCUUACAUAAUAAUAUAAGUUAACAAGCUUUAGAUAUUUAUUAUACACGGGGCUUACGUGAUCCAUGAACUGCCGGUGCCAGACCAUUGCAUUAAUCAAUCACCAUGUGCCUGCUGACACGUAUGAUGGGAUUUUGAUCAAAGGUAUGAUUGCAUCAUUCCACCAAGGGAUUUUUUUUUUUAAAUUACCAUGGUCAGUUGAAAUAUUAGAAAAUGAUCAAUUAAAACCUAUCAUUAGUAGCUUUGAAGAUCAAUUCCAUGAUCAAAUACGAGAUUAUUUAGGCCCUAAUAUAGCGACAUAUCUCAUGAAAUCACACACUCAAAGUAGAAGAGAUAUAUUUUUGUCCUUUAUUAUCGCAUUUUUCUUUAUCCAUACUCUUUAUAAAUUUCUUUAGAGUACAAUUAUUUAAACUUACCAAAAUACGUUCAAUACUUAUUUACUUAUUAUACGCAUGUUUUAAUUCAAAUUUUUAAAUUUUACUCUAUACACCUACUUAAAUGUCAAAUAUUCUCAUAUAAACUAAAAUAAAAAAAUUUUCGCUUUCUCUCUCUAGUCUUUGUAUGAUUUCAUUUCCAUUGAAUCACACUUAAGCUAAUGCGGUAAUAGCUUGGGCUUAGUUUUAAUAAACUACGAUCCCGUCAUUAGGGAUGGCAAUGGGGCGGGGUGGGGGUGGGGAUGCCUACCCCAUUCCCCACCCCAUUAAAAUUUUUUGCCUCCAUUUCCCACCCCAUUCCCCAAUAAAUUUAGUGGGUUGGGGAUGGGGAAUCCCCAUGUGGGGAAUGAUUCCUCCAUCCCCACCCCAUUCCCCAUUUACUUAUUUUAUAGUAGAUAUAAAAAUACGAUUUCAGUAAAUUAAAAAUUAGAGACUUAAGAUAAAAU
rnacentral:lncRNA from 1 species